UAGGGAAUCUUCGGCAAUGGGGGCAACCCUGACCGAGCAACGCCGCGUGAGUGAAGAAGGUUUUCGGAUCGUAAAGCUCUGUUGUAAGAGAAGAACGAGUGUGAGAGUGGAAAGUUCACACUGUGACGGUAACUUACCAGAAAGGGACGGCUAACUACGUGCCAGCAGCCGCGGUAAUACGUAGGUCCCGAGCGUUAUCCGGAUUUAUUGGGCGUAAAGCGAGCGCAGGCGGUUAGAUAAGUCUGAAGUUAAAGGCUGUGGCUUAACCAUAGUACGCUUUGGAAACUGUUUUAACUUGAGUGCAGAAGGGGAGAGUGGAAUUCCAUGUGUAGCGGUGAAAUGCGUAGAUAUAUGGAGGAACACCGGUGGCGAAAGCGGCUCUCUGGUCUGUAACUGACGCUGAGGCUCGAAAGCGUGGGGAGCAAACAGGAUUAGAUACCCUGGUAGUCCACGCCGUAAACGAUGAGUGCUAGGUGUUGGGUCCUUUCCGGGACUCAGUGCCGCAGCUAACGCAUUAAGCACUCCGCCUGGGGAGUACGACCGCAAGGUU
rnacentral:rRNA from 1 species